CCCAAAGGUUUGAAUAAUUAAAUUCAAACCUAUAGUUUUUUUUAAUAUAAUUUUGGGACUCACAAUCCCAUUUUUAUAUUAUUUUUCUCUCUUCCUCUCACGUUGCUCGGCGUUUUCUCACAAGGGGGGAUUAUUUUCUUUUUCUUCAGAUUAUAUUGACAAAGAUAGUGGUGAAAAAGGAGUUGUGAAGGGGAACUUGUUAUUCAAGACACAAGGAGCGAAUCCGGCCGAGAAAGUACCAGAGGUGUAAUUAUGGUGUAUGAGACACCAUCUUUUAUGUUGCCUCUUAUUUUGGAUUAUACAAUGUAUCUUGUGCCAACUUAGGACAUAUCUUGUCUAUGGAGCAUGUAAACUCUAAUCCUUUUUAUUAAAUGCAUUUAUAUGUCCAAGAGGAUUAUGUCUGUCCCUUUUGAUUCAUGACCUAAUUUAA